rnacentral:rRNA from 1 species
GCGAACGGGUGAGUAACACGUGAGGAACCUGCCCUGUACACCGGGAUAACUACGGGAAACCGUGGCUAACACCGGAUGCUCCACCUUGAUCGCAUGAUCGGGGUGGGAAAGCUCAGGCGGUACAGGAGGGCCUCGCGGCGUAUCAGCUAGUUGGUGGGGUAAUGGCCUACCAAGGCUACGACGCGUAGCGGAUCUAAGAGGAUGAUCCGUCACAUUGGGACUGAGAUACGGCCCAGACUCC